rnacentral:rRNA from 1 species
CCUACGGGAGGCAGCAGUGAGGAAUAUUGGUCAAUGGACGAGAGUCUGAACCAGCCAAGUAGCGUGAAGGAUGACUGCCCUAUGGGUUGUAAACUUCUUUUAUAUGGGAAUAAAAUGUUCCACGUGUGGGAUUUUGUAUGUACCAUAUGAAUAAGGAUCGGCUAACUCCGUGCCAGCAGCCGCGGUAAUACGGAGGAUCCGAGCGUUAUCCGGAUUUAUUGGGUUUAAAGGGAGCGUAGGUGGAUUGUUAAGUCAGUUGUGAAAGUUUGCGGCUCAACCGUAAAAUUGCAGUUGAAACUGGCAGUCUUGAGUACAGUAGAGGUGGGCGGAAUUCGUGGUGUAGCGGUGAAAUGCUUAGAUAUCACGAAGAACUCCGAUUGCGAAGGCAGUUCACUGGACUGCAACUGACACUGAGGCUCAAAAGUGUGGGUAUCAAACAGGAUUAGAUACCCGAGUAGUC